CCUACGGGGGGCUGCAGUAGGGAAUCUUCCGCAAUGGACGAAAGUCUGACGGAGCAACGCCGCGUGAGUGAUGAAGGUUUUCGGAUCGUAAAACUCUGUUGUUAGGGAAGAACAAGUACUAGAGUAACUGCUAGUACCUUGACGGUACCUAACCAGAAAGCCCCGGCUAACUACGUGCCAGCAGCCGCGGUAAGACGUGGGGGGCCAGCGUUGCUCGGAAUUACUGGGUGUAUAGGGUUCGUAGGCGGUGUGGCAAGUCGGGAGUGAAAUCUCUGGGCUUAACUCAGGGGCUGCUUCCGAAACUGCCGUGCUAGAGUGUGGGAGAGGCGCGUGGAAUUGCAGGUGUAGCGGUGAAAUGCGUAGAUAUCUGCAGGAACACCCGUGGCGAAAGCGGCGCGCUGGACCACUACUGACGCUGAGGAACGAAAGCUAGGGGUGCAAACAGGAUUAGAUACCCUUGUAGUC
rnacentral:rRNA from 1 species